CGACCGGCGCACGGGUGCGUAACGCGUAUGCAACCUACCUUUAACAGGGGGAUAACACUGAGAAAUUGGUACUAAUACCCCAUAAUAUCAUAGAAGGCAUCUUUUAUGGUUGAAAAUUCCGAUGGUUAGAGAUGGGCAUGCGCUGUAUUAGCUAGUUGGUGGGGUAACGGCUCACCAAGGCGACGAUACAUAGGGGGACUGAGAGGUUAACCCCCCACACUGGUACUGAGACACGGACCAG
rnacentral:rRNA from 1 species